rnacentral:rRNA from 1 species
GAUGAACGCUGGCGGCGUGCCUAAUACAUGCAAGUCGAGCGAACGGACGAGAAGCUUGCUUCUCUGAUGUUAGCGGCGGACGGGUGAGUAACACGUGGAUAACCUACCUAUAAGACUGGGAUAACUCCGGGAAACCGGAGCUAAUACCGGAUGAUAUUUUGAACCGCAUGGUUCAAAAGUGAAAGACGGUCUUGCUGUCACUUAUAGAUGGAUCCGCGCUGCAUUAGCUAGUUGGUAAGGUAACGGCUUACCAAGGCAACGAUGCAUAGCCGACCUGAGAGGAUGAUCGGCCACACUGGAACUGAGACACGGUCCAGACUCCUACGGGAGGCAGCAGUAGGGAAUCUUCCGCAAUGGGCGAAAGCCUGACGGAGCAACGCCGCGUGAGUGAUGAAGGUCUUCGGAUCGUAAAACUCUGUUAUUAGGGAAGAACAUAUGUGUAAGUAACUGUGCACAUCUUGACGGUACCUAAUCAGAAAGCAACGGCUAACUACGUG